CGGGGUAAAUGCACCCCUGGGCACAACUGGGUAAUCCCUAAAUCCUUGAUUGCUAGGGGUGCCUUGAGGUUUGGAAUCCACUGGGUUAAACUGUUAGUAAAAUGAACUGCAAUGCCCCCCACUUCAUCUGGAGUGUUUUCUGUGUGUUUUCAUUAAGGUUUGCUGAUGGGGAAUUAGUAAUAGAUUGAGAGUGUCAACUGAAGUUUUCAUGCUAUCAGCAAUGCCUGGUCCAAGGCUUCCUGAAUGAAGUCUUGGACCUUCAGAGAAAGUGGAGGGGCAGAGCAAUUGUGCAUCCUCUUCCAGACUGAGGUUAAACCUUAUAACAGUUUAACCCCUUAAGCUGAGAUGCCAACUGGGAACCCCUCGCACCAUAACAACUUAAUUGCAGUGAAGUUAUUUUGCCUAUUGUGGUCCUUAAACCCCUUAAGGACCAAACUUCUGGAAUAAAAGAGAAUCAUGACAUGUCACACAUGUCAUGUAUCCUUAAGGGGUUAAGCUUGUGGAAGUGCUGUAGGGCACGGGAGAGUCAUUUUAAAUCUAAAGAUUUGGAAAAGAUUUAUUAGAGCAAAAUCGAAACAACAUUUCGGCCCACAACAGGGCCAUUGUCAAGCUAACCACAAGUGUAUUGAUUUUCUUUUCUAAAGGGUAAUCUAUUCAACAAUUAACACAAUGUAUAUCAAGACAUAGAUAAUCAAUCACGUAUCCCAUUACUAACAUGUUAAUAAUGCA